GAGUUUUCCCAGGCUGAUGUCA
rnacentral:miRNA from 1 species